rnacentral:rRNA from 1 species
GACGAACGCUGGCGGCGUGCUUAACACAUGCAAGUCGAACGGAAAGGCCCUGCUUUUGUGGGGUGCUCGAGUGGCGAACGGGUGAGUAACACGUGAGUAACCUGCCCUUGACUUUGGGAUAACUUCAGGAAACUGGGGCUACUACCGGAUCGGAGCUCCUGCUGCAUGGUGGGGGUUGGAAAGUUUCGGCGGUUGGGGAUGGACUCGCGGCUUAUCAGCUUGUUGGUGGGGUAGUGGCUUACCAAGGCUUUGACGGGUAGCCGGCCUGAGAGGGUGACCGGCCACAAUGGGACUGAGAGACGGCCCAGACGCCUACGGGAGGCAGCAGUGGGGAAUAUUGCACAGUGGUCGGAAGCCUGAUGCAGCAACGCCGCGUGCGGGAUGACGGCCUUCGGGUUGUAAACCGCUUUCGCCUGUGACGAAGCGUGAGUGACGGUAAUGGGUAAAGAAGCACCGGCUAACUACGUG